CUGCCUUUUAACAAACAUGCCAAUUAAUUCCCUGCUGAUUAGUUCAUUCCCGAUGCUCUCUGCCAAAUCUAUUUCUGGUGGAAUAAACAAGGAGGGAUGAAUCGGCGGCAGGGUUAUUAUUUUUUUUCCUGCUCCCCUUCUCCCAGGUCUGUGCCUGCCAAAGCAAACAGGCUCAGGUCUGGUCAGUGCUUGAUAAAAAGAUUCCCAAAGAAAUAAAUGCAAGGUGUUAACGGGAUGAUUUUUGUAAAGCAGGAGGUGGGACCCCGAGUCUGGUCCCAUCUCUGUGUCAGACUGACAUUUUGCAGUGGUUCGAGGAUGUGCAGCCACCACGGUGGUGGCCCUGAGCAGCACACCCAGGCUCAUGACUGGACCUACUAAGGUAUUGCUUGCAAGUGCCUUGGCCAAAUCUGCAUUCUUCCUGAUAUUACUUCUCCAGUAUCAGCUGGCAGCAACGCCCUCUCUGCUUCCUGAUCAGUCUAUUCUUAUUUAACUCUGUUUUCCACUGCCAAAACGUCUGCGCUCGGCAGUGAGAAAAAAGAUCCUUUUCCACAGGCCAAAGGACCGUCCAGCUGCUCAGAAUAAAAGCCGACAUCCAGAAAUGAAGGAGCAAGAGGCUGUGUGCAAGCGUUACGGAGAGGCAGAUCCACAGCUGGAAGGGACUCGGCGAUGCAGGUUUACCCAAGUGUCUGCUCCCAUGUGAGUUCUCCAUCCUGGAGAGACUCAGCCAGGUACAGGAGGAACAAGGAAGGUGUUCCCAGCCCUGCUCACAUAGCCAUGGCCAGCCCAGCAAACGAGAAGGGUAGGACAAGAAGAGCAGGUAAAAGCAUUAGCUUAGCACACAUAGGAUUUCAAAAAUACCGGGUAUUUCUUCCCUCCGGACAGCUGAGAACAGCUGCUCCAGCUGUUGUGUGCACCUCCCAGCUGGUUCUCCGUACAAGAGUGAGCCAGGCCUCCAUCACAGCACAGCUUCCUGGCUACCACAACUGACUGGAGCAAGGGGAGAGAAACAUCCUUUCUUAAGUCUCUCCUUGUCACCAUUUCCUCCACAUUCUCUCACAGGUUCUCAGAACUUCCUUAGGCGGGGAGGGUGCCACCAUGAAGCCAAAGGCAGCUGUGCGUCUCUGUCCCCUUCAGCUGCCGAGCACACAUUUGAUAGCCCCGAAAUGGCUGCAGCAGGGACAGGGACUUUCCCAGUGGCUGGCCACGUCGGCUGUGCGUGGCUCCCUGCUUUGGGUGGAGAGGGCUCAGCAGGAUCCCUGAGGCAGGCCAUGGCGAGUCUGUCUGCGUCAGACACCCAAAACACACUGCGUGCUGCAGGCUGGAGCGGUGGGACAGCUGGCUGCCAGGCACCUCCUAGAGGAGACAUGACAUGAAGGGCCGUAAAGUGGCCAUAGGGCCUAUCAGACCUUGCAACACAGAGUGGCAGAAGGCGAUGAAGGCCCAUACCUGGCUGGAGAGCAGCUGGUGGAACCUGUAUCGUAUCCAUUGCUCCAGCUCAGCCAGAGAAGCCCACAGAUGCAAAACCACAUAGGACAUCCUGGUGCCUAUGAGACAGGGGUGUAGCACAGAGCUAUCCUUAUGGUUGGUGUAAACUCCCAAGCCACAGGGGUGCCUGCUGCCUUCCUGGCAAUGAACUAAUUUCCUAAAACAGCACUAAGUACCUAGGGCUGCCAACAACCCCACUUCACCACACAUGGGAACCUGCAUGCUUGUUCUGUAGGGUCAACAGAUCAGGGGUGAGCUCAGCAAGGACUCUCCCAACAUCACUUUCCUUGCCAUGAAAUUCACCAACUGCCCAUGGUCCUCCUGCUCUCACAGCACUACUUGCUUCCUCUAGCCCCAGCUGUCACCGCACCUGCCCUGUAAGAGUCGGGCCUAGCAGAGCAGCGGGAAGACUGCCAUUGCUGCAAGCAGCUCACAGAAGCUACAUGUGGCUCUAUCACUUUUUGGUGGGAAAGAUCAAAAGGUCAGCCAUCAGCUGCAAAGAGGGAAGAAAAUCGGUCCCAUUUGGACCCAUGCUGAAGGCAGCUAAUGUUGGAAAUAGAAGGUAGGAUCAGCAGGGACACACCAGGCCAGCAUCUGGCAGCUCCUACAGAGGAAAAAGGGCAGCACUCACCACUGUACAGAAAGGGCAGCACUUCUCACUUGUGGGACAUUCAGUGUAGGUUGGUCCAGUGGCUAAAGAUGGAGAGAAUUGAAUAAAAGGACCUCAAGGCAGGAGGGGGAUGAUACA
ensembl:lncRNA